rnacentral:snRNA from 1 species
GAUCAAAGUGUAGUAUCUGUUCUUAUCAGCUUAAUAUCUGAUAUGGCCUCCAUUGGAGGCUUACGAUAUUAAACUGAUUUUUGUGAACGGGGGAAGACGCGGGAGCUUGCUCCGACUUCCCCGCGGGUUGGCC